rnacentral:rRNA from 1 species
AUUGAACGCUGGCGGCAUGCCUUACACAUGCAAAUCGAACGGUAACGGGCCUUCGGGUGCCGACGAGUGGCGAACGGGUGAGUAAUACAUCGGAACGUGCCCGAUCGUGGGGGAUAACGAGGCGAAAGCUUUGCUAAUACCGCAUACGAUCUACGGAUGAAAGCAGGGGACCGCAAGGCCUUGCGCGGACGGAGCGGCCGAUGGCAGAUUAGGUAGUUGGUGGGAUAAAAGCUUACCAAGCCGACGAUCUGUAGCUGGUCUGAGAGGAUGAUCAGCCACACUGGGACUGAGACACGGCCCAGACUCCUACGGGAGGCAGCAGUGGGGAAUUUUGGACAAUGGGCGCAAGCCUGAUCCAGCCAUGCCGCUUGCAGGAUGAAGGCCUUCGGGUUGUAAACUGAUUUUGUACGGAACGAAAAGCCUUCUUUUAAUACAGGAGGGUCAUGACGGUACCGUAAGAAUAAGCACCGGCUAACUACGUG